GAUGAACGCUAGCGGGAGGCCUAACACAUGCAAGCCGAGCGGUAGAGUUUCUUCGGAAACUUGAGAGCGGCGCACGGGUGCGUAACACGUGUGCAACCUACCUUUAUCUGGGGGAUAGCCUUUCGAAAGGAAGAUUAAUACCCCAUAAUAUAAUGAUUGGCAUCAAUUAUUAUUGAAAACUCCGGUGGAUAGAGAUGGGCACGCGCAGGAUUAGAUAGUUGGUGAGGUAACGGCUCACCAAGUCAAUGAUCUUUAGGGGUCCUGAGAGGGAGAUCCCCCACACUGGUACUGAGACACGGACCAGAAUACUACGGGAGGAAGCAGUGAGGAAUAUUGGACAAUGGGUGAGAGCCUGAUCCAGCCAUCCCGCGUGAAGGAUGACGGCCCUAUGGAUUGUAAACUUCUUUUGUACAGGGAUAAACCUACCCUCGUGAGGGUAGCUGAAGGUACUGUACGAAUAAGCACCGGCUAACUCCGU
rnacentral:rRNA from 1 species